UACGAGGGGGGCAAAUGUUGUUCGGAAUCACUGGGCGUAAAGGGCGCGUAGGUGGGUUUCUAAGUCAGGUGUUUAAUCCCGGGGCCCAACCCCGGACAGGCACUUGAAACUGGGAAUCUUGAAUAGUGGAGAGGUCAGUGGAAUUGGGGGUGUAGCGGUGGAAUGCGUAGAGAUCCCCAAGAACACCAGUUGCGAAGGCGGCUGACUGGACACAUAUUGACGCUGAGGCUCGAAAGCAUGGGGAGCAAACAGG
rnacentral:rRNA from 1 species